CCAUCUUUUCUUGGUGGAGACCAGCUGUGCAGUCCUGUUCCCCACUGUGUAUGAAGCACAAGGAGAGGACUCCAGCCCUCUUAGCACCAUGCAUGUCUUUGGUACCUGUGGCCUCCGGUCCACCAGCUCCAUGGGAAAAGG
ensembl:snoRNA LOC120096782 small nucleolar RNA SNORA57